AUACGGAGGGUGCGAGCGUUACUCGGAAUCACUGGGCGUAAAGCGCGCGCAGGCGGCUAUUUAAGUUGGAUGUGAAAGCCUACGGCUCAACCGUAGAACUGCAUCCAAAACUAUUUAGCUAGAGUGUGGGAGAGGAAGAUGGAAUUAGUUGUGUAGGGGUAAAAUCCGUAGAGAUAACUAGGAAUACCAAAAGCGAAGGCAAUCUUCUGGAACACUACUGACGCUGAGGCGCGAAAGCGUGGGGAGCAAACGGGAUUAGAAACCCUUGUAGUCC
rnacentral:rRNA from 1 species